rnacentral:rRNA from 1 species
AGAGUUUGAUCAUGGCUCAGGAUGAACGCUAGCGGCAGGCCUAACACAUGCAAGUCGAACGGUAACAGGAAAAGCUUGCUUUUCGCUGACGAGUGGCGCACGGGUGCGUAACGCGUAUGAAACUUACCUUAUACAGGGAGAUAGCCCGAAGAAAUUCGGAUUAAUACCCCAUAAUGAUACAGCUUCGCAUGAUUUUGUAUUUAAAGAUUUAUCGGUAUAAGAUGGUCAUGCGUGACAUUAGCUAGAUGGUAAGGUAACGGCUUACCAUGGCAACGAUGUCUAGGGGUUCUGAGAGGAUGAUCCCCCACACUGGUACUGAGACACGGACCAGACUCCUACGGGAGGCAGCAGUGAGGAAUAUUGGUCAAUGGACGCAAGUCUGAACCAGCCAUGCCGCGUGCAGGAAGACUGCCCUACGGGUUGUAAACUGCUUUUAUAUAGGAAGAAAACGAUCUACGAGUAGAUCACUGACGGUACUAUAUGAAUAAGGAUCGGCUAACUCCGUGCCAGCAGCCGCGGUAAUACGGAGGAUCCAAGCGUUAUCCGGACUUAUUGGGUUUAAAGGGUUCGUAGGCGGUUAAUUAAGUCAGAGGUGAAAUCCCAUAGCUCAACUAUGGAACUGCCUUUGAUACUGGUUGACUAGAGAUAGUUCGAAGUGGGCGGAAUGUGACAUGUAGCGGUGAAAUGCAUAGAGAUGUCACAGAACACC